rnacentral:rRNA from 1 species
GGGUUUACCCAUUGGUCAGGCUUAAUUGUCUGUACUGGUGAGAUAAAUCUCUCCCUUCUGACGAACCAUGAUGUCAUUUAUUUGGUGUUGUGGGGAAUCAGGACUGUUACUUUGAAAAAAUUAGAGUGUUUAAAGCAGGCUCACGCUUGAAUACAUUAGCAUGGAAUAAUGAAAUAGGACGUUUGAUUCUAUUUUGUUGGUUUCUAGGAUCGACGUA